rnacentral:rRNA from 1 species
UACGUAGGGUGCAAGCGUUGUCCGGAAUUAUUGGGCGUAAAGAGCUUGUAGGCGGUUUGUCGCGUCUGCUGUGAAAUUUCGGGGCUCAACCCCGAACUUGCAGUGGGUACGGGCAGACUAGAGUGUGGUAGGGGAGACUGGAAUUCCUGGUGUAGCGGUGAAAUGCGCAGAUAUCAGGAGGAACACCGAUGGCGAAGGCGGGUUGCUGGGCCGACACUGACGCUGAGGAGCGAAAGCGUGGGGAGCGAACAGG